UACGUAGGGUGCAAGCGUUAAUCGGAAUUACUGGGCGUAAAGCGUGCGCAGGCGGUUAUGCAAGACAGAUGUGAAAUCCCCGGGCUCAACCUGGGAAUUGCGUUCGAUACUGGAUAGCUAGAGUUCGGCAGAGGGAAGCGGAAUUUCGGGUGUAGCGGUGAAAUGCGUAGAUAUCCGAAGGAACAUCAGUGGCGAAAGCGGCUUCCUGGACCAGAACUGACGAUCAGGCACGAAAGCGUGGGGAGCAAACAGG
rnacentral:rRNA from 1 species